rnacentral:tRNA from 1 species
GUUUUAAUAAUUUAAACAAAAUAUUGGUCUUGUAAACCAAAAAUAAGAAACCUUCUUUUAAAACA